rnacentral:rRNA from 1 species
GACGAACGCUGGCGGCGUGCUUAACACAUGCAAGUCGAGCGGUAAGGCACUUUGGUGUACACGAGCGGCGAACGGGUGAGUAACACGUGAGUAAUCUGCCCUUCACUCUGGGAUAAGCACUCGAAAGGGUGUCUAAUACCGGAUACGACACGGUCUCGCAUGGGAUCCGUGUGGAAACUUUUGUGGGUGGGGGAUGUGCUCGCGGCCUAUCAGCUUGUUGGUGGGGUAAUGGCCUACCAAGGCUUCGACGGGUAGCCGGCCUGAGAGGGUGACCGGCCACACUGGGACUGAGACACGGCCCAGACUCCUACGGGAGGCAGCAGUGGGGAAUAUUGGACAAUGGGCGGAAGCCUGAUCCAGCAACGCCGCGUGAGGGAUGACGGCCUUCGGGUUGUAAACCUCUUUCAUCAUUGACGAAGUCCAGUGUGUAGCUGGGUGACGGUAGGUGGAGAAGAAGCACCGGCCAACUACGUGCCAGCAGCCGCGGUAACAC